rnacentral:lncRNA from 1 species
CUAGAACAAAGAGAGAGGUACAUUGACACCCUCAACCACCAGCUAGUCAUUAUGUCCUCUGCAUCUAGAGAACAUGUCGACCAGCUUGGGAUAACACAAGCAGAACCUGAGACCAGCAUGGCCUCCACCACACAGCCUGAUGACACUGCACCAGUCUCCCAGUCUGCUCCAGCCCAAGCCAACCAGCCUCCCAGUCUGCUCCAGCACAGAUAAAGGUCCCCCUGGUUAAAUGGUUGUCACUGAACCCCACCAUUGUCUGUUUCCAAUUCCCCAGCGUCAAGACUCGUGUCUGGGACGCACGAACAAAACGCCGCUAUUCGGAUAUAACGAUGGAUUAUUUGGGAC